rnacentral:rRNA from 1 species
UAAACGACUCUCGGCAACGGAUAUCUCGGCUCUCGCAUCGAUGAAAAACGUAGCGAAAUGCGAUACUUGGUGUGAAUUGCAGAAUCCCGUGAACCAUCGAGUCUUUGAACGCAAGUUGCGCCCGAAGCCAUUAGGCCGAGGGCACGCCUGCCUGGGCGUCACAC